AAAAAAAAUCAAACCUGAAUGUGCCCGACUUCGUCUGAUCUCAGAAGCUAAACAAGGACGGGCUUGGUUAGUAUUUGGAUGGGAGAGAAUAUCAGGCCC
rnacentral:rRNA from 1 species